rnacentral:tRNA from 1 species
GGCCUUCUAGUAUAAGGGUAGUACUCCUAGUUCUAAAUUAGGAGGUUAUAGGUUUAACUCCUACUAGGGCUA